UACGUAGGGUGCAAGCGUUGUCCGGAAUUAUUGGGCGUAAAGAGCUCGUAGGCGGUCCGUCACGUCGGCUGUGAAAACCUGGGGCUCGAACCCCGGGCCUGCAGCCGAUACGGGCGGACUAGAAUUCGGUAGGGGAGACGUGGAAUUCCUGGUGUAGCGGUGAAAUGCGCAGAUAUCGGGAGGAACACCGGUGGCGAAGG
rnacentral:rRNA from 1 species